rnacentral:tRNA from 2 species
CCUUCGAUAGCUCAAUUGGUAGAGCGGGGGACUGUAGAUUUAUAAUUGUGAUCCCUAGGGCGCUGGUUCGAAUCCGGCUCGAAGGA